rnacentral:rRNA from 1 species
UACGAGGGGGGCGAGCGUUGUUCGGAAUUAUUGGGCGUAAAGGGUGCGUAGGCGGUUCCGCAAGUCCUGUGUGAAAUCUUCGGGCUCAACUCGAAGUCUGCACGGGAAACUGCGGGGCUUGAGUGUGGGAGAGGUGAGUGGAAUUCCCGGUGCAGCGGUGAAAUGCGUAGAUAUCGGGAGGAACACCUGUGGCGAAAGCGGCUCACUGGACCAUAACUGACGCUGAUGCACGAAAGCUGGGGGAGCAAACAGG